CACACACACACACACACACACACACACACACACACACACACACACACACGCCAUUCCUUUGAGCUGCAGUAGGGGACCUGCACCAUGCCUACGAUUACUCACUCUCUCUCACUGAGGAUGUCUUUAGUAUCUUCUGAGGCCACUUUUUUCACACCAGUUAGCAGUGCCAUAUUGAGGGGAUAGUUCAAAACCACCCUCCCCACCUCUCCCGGUUGCUCAUAGACAGAAUGAUUAGUGUUACUGGGACUGGCCGCACUGGCAUAUUGAUUUAGGUCAGGAGGUUGGUUUUGGCUGAUAUGCUGCCCCCGGAGACAAAGCUGUCACUCAGUCUCGCCAGACUCACUGACAUAAUGGCCCAUACUUUGAGACUGAUUGCUCCAAGCUCGCUAUGCUUCUGCUCAUCUUUAACAGAAUGAUGGCUACUUUAGCUAAAUACAGAGAGUAUCUGUGUAUUGAUCUGCGCUUGGAGGUUGCAAGUCUGAGAGCAAAAAGUGUACAGACCGUAUGGCUCGUCCAUCACAGGAACAUAUUUGGUGCUGAUAUGGAUUUCCAAAAUGGACCCGACAUUGACAAAUAAGUUCGACUUUCACUGUGACUUAACUACACAUUAACAUUAGCAUAUGCAAUUUACAAUGCAAACUUCACUGACCGCCCUGGCUUGGAGGCCAACUCAUGCUAAAGCAAGGUUUAAUUUCAUUUCAGGACUUGGCGCCCCCGAGACGUACGCCAGCAAUCUGUUGCUGUCCGCGAGGGAGAGGUGCUGAAAGACUAACUGCUUGCGCGGCCCCGCGUAAGUCGGAUUCACAUGUUUCAACAGAGGCAGCACUCUCGGUGCUCGUGCCCGCGUCCUGGCAGGCUGCGUCGUGUUUGUCUCUCUCCUCCUACAAGCGCCAAAGACUGUAGUUCGUGUUGUUCACCAAAUAUUCGUCUCUCUUUAGUGUCUUUGUCUUAGUCGUGGGCAUUCCGAGUAAUUUAUUUAUGCAGUAGCCAAUCCCAUACUCAAUAUUUAUACAGGCUGCAUCUUAAGGGGAAAGCGCAUUAAAAUGAAAUAUGCAAACGGUAAGCGAAAGAGUCACAUCGCCGCAUGUGGUUGCUUUUUGUCCUCCACUUAUAAUAUUUAACAACCGUUUUAAUUAUAUUGUUGCUAUACUACACGAGCCAACAUUGUUGAUUUUUUUUUUUAUGAGAUACCGUUUCUCUGCAGUAAAAACAACGGAUAACACAGUCACCUCCCCACACAAAGACACAGCUUAUUUUUAGACAUCAGUCUAAGGCCAAGCAGGUCGCGGUUGCAUGCUAAUAUCAUCUAUGCCGCGUUUGACUUUCGUAACCAACCAAGUCAGCAGCUAUUCUGUCAGUUACAUUGCAGUCAUUGACAAACUGUUCCCACAAGUGCAUUGGUUUAAUCAAACACGCGCAGUUACUUUCCCCUGGGAGGAUGAUCGGGGCUAUGCCGCUAUUGAGUCAGCGUUGGUACAGAAGGUCUGAAGAUAGCAACCCAUGAAAUCAACCAGGCACUUGCCGAGCAGAUUGGUAAUAAAACAAGGCCCGCUGAUAAAUGGCUAAUAUUCUGCAUUAUUUAAAUGCUUGUUAUGCUAUGCAACAUAAUUCGCUAAGCCAGAUGCUCACCUUCAGGGAUACUUGUGGUGCUUUAAAUAGAACACAUUACACAUUCUGUAAUUAAUUCAUAACACUGGAUUUAUACCAUGUGGUGGAAUAAUGAAGGCAGAUUUGAGAUUUAAUGGUGCACUGACUCUGCCCAACCUGGAUUUAGAGCGAGGAUAUUCAGAUGGGGGAUCUGGACAAAAAAAGUGACUUUAAGGCUUCAAGCUCCAAACGGAUUGAAAGGGUAUCUGCUUGUAGGUUCGGCCUGUCUUUCGGGGCUGUCUGUCUGUUUGUCUGUCUGUCUGUCUGUUUGUUUGUCUGUCUGUCUGUCUGUCUGUCGUGGUUAUAUUUAACUCUUUGCUCAGCGGGUCUCCAUUUUUCUCCCCACACAACCACUCCAUUUCAGUCCCCGAGCUGCUGCUGCAAUGUAGCACAUCUGUGAUCAGGGUUUCCAAACAAAUGAAUAAUUCAAAGUGGUAUUUGGAAGGGCACACCAGAAAAAAAUAGCAUUGCAAUGCAUUUUUCUCAGGUGUAUUUUUUUUCUCCACAGAAGACAUCACGGGGCAUUUCAUCCAAGCACACAUUUAUUGCAUGGAAAAAGCCAAGGGACGGUCCAGUGCUGACUUCACAGAUGAACCGUUUUUUCCUGAGUUUGUCUUUUUUCACCUCCUCCUCUCAUCCUUCAUCCUCCUUUAAUUUACCCUUCUCUGACCUGACAGGAGGGAUCCGCAUCUAUGAGGACACAGAAGCAGGUAGAGUAUCUUACUGUAGGUUUUGCUGGCUACAGUAUGCUUGGUGCAUGAUUGGUCAUCGAAAACAGCCAUUAAAUGGCACUAAGAGAAGGACUGGGAACAUACCGUGGAUAGAAUAAUUGCUUCCACUUAGAGGGCCACAC
ensembl:lncRNA